UGUGGCUACAAAUGCAAUGAGUGAUCUCAGAGGUGGCUGAAUGCAGUGCUUUUCUGACUGGAAUGAUAAUGCCAACAGGAUGAUAAGAACUGAGAUGAAGCAUCCAAAAUGCCUUAUUAGCCUUUGAUGGGAUGUGAGGAGCUGCCAGGAUCUGCCUUUCAGCUGCAUUGUGUGUGGAAGUGCAGUGCUGCAGCAAUGUGGAGGGAAGGCCUAUUAGGGCUGCCUGAAGAGUUUGCAGAACGCAUGACAGAAUCCCACUUGAAAACAUUUUCUACUGCAGAAAUUGCUGUCUCAGGGGAAGGCGAAUAUAGUUUGGAGAAGUAUAGAAAAGCGUAACAAUUCUGGCCUAAGAAGUUGAGCAUGCUGUUUGAAGUAUGGUCACUCAAGAAGCUUUGUUCAAACCAUUUUUAGAUUUUGGCAUACAGUACUGGACUGAACUGUAAAUUUCCCUUUCCCUUCCUUUUUUUUUUUUUUUU
rnacentral:lncRNA from 1 species